rnacentral:snRNA from 1 species
GUGCUUGCUUUGGCAGCACAUAUACUAAAAUUGAAACAGAAUAUUAGCAUGGCCCCUGCACAGGAAUGACACACAAAUUUGUGAAACAUAGAAAAACAUC